rnacentral:rRNA from 1 species
CCUACGGGAGGCAGCAGUGAGGAAUAUUGGUCAAUGGGCGCAAGCCUGAACCAGCCAAGUAGCAUGAAGGAUGACUGUCCUACGCAUUGUAAACUUCUUUUGUCAAGGGAUAAAGUGAGGCACGUGAGCCUUUUUGUGUGUACUUUAUGAAUAAGGAUCGGCUAACUCCGUGCCAGCAGCCGCGGUAAUACGGAGGAUCCGAGCGUUAUCCGGGUUUAUUGGGUUUAAAGGGUGCGUAGAUGGGUUGUUAAGUCAGUUGUGAAAGUUUGCGGCUCAACCGUAAAAUAGCAAUUGAUACUGGCAGCCUUGAGUAGAGUUGAGGUAGGCGGAAUUCGUGGUGUAGCGGUGAAAUGCUUAGAUAUCACGAAGAACUCCGAUUGCGAAGGCAGCCUACUA